AUCUUCUUCACAAAUUUUUCUUCUCUUCUAACACAAUUCCAUGACCCACCGACUUAAAUCUAUACCGUUCGACUCCUCUCAACAUGACGAAUAUUUGCAUCCGAUUGGAUUCCAUUUUUAUCAACAUCGCUUGAAGCCGGUAAAAUCUCCUCUGCCGCGAUUUCAGCUUCGAUUCAACGCCAUCUGAAUGCCGAUCGUCGUCAAACCGCCACCAAUAGUUUGCUCAUCGCCCGACGAAUCCAAUAUACCCUCACCCAUCCAUUUUCAUCAACGAAUGGCGACUAAUGCUCCUCCACCCAACGACGUCCAUGUUCAAUUACGAUUUGCCGAUGAUCUGAAAAUGUGGUGUGAUUGGACUUUAGUUUUGCUGAAUUUUUCUCAAUUUUAUGUGAUUUUUAGAAUUGAAAGUUGAUUCAAUUAUUGAUGGCUACUGUUUCGCCAUCAAUAUUUGCUGCCAAUGCAUGUGGUGCUUUCAUAUGAUUUGUACUCUUUUGAGACAUCUGUCGGCUAUGAAGUUACUUUUUCUGCACUAAGUCACUUGGAUGCAUAUACUUUCAAAAAAAUUACUAUUUACCCGUGAA